GACUCUUGAUUGCAGCUGACAGAAGCUCAUGACAGCCUGGUUUAGAUAAAAGGGGAAAGGACGACUGGAAGAAUCUUGGAGUUGGGAAUAUGGCACAUAAUUGAAGGAAGAGCAAUAAAACUAUAAUUCUUCCCGUGGAGACUGGAGUUUCCAGGAUGUGAAAAUUACCUCUGCUUGGGUGAGCUAUUCCAAGCAGCUGGGAUACCUGUGUCACUCCUGCUGUCUGCCAGUGACUGCCCAGGUGUCCGCUGGUUCCUCCCCAGGAGUAGGGAGGAACCAGGUGGGCUGGCUGGGAUGGGUGGAUAUUUAAAGACCAGGCCUUGGACGCUGCAGCACUUGUAUCUCUGCUUGAGGCCUGCUGCCAUGUGGCUGGUCCUCCUCCUCCUGCCGUGACUGAGCCCCGGGAUGAAGACAGGCAGCUGCUCCCAACCCCAGCAACUUUGCUAUCUUAGAACGGAUCACCAGUGAAAGAGGGGAAGUUGCUACUGUGAUGAAUUCUGCCAUGUGGUACCAGACUGCUGCCCAGACCACAGUGUCCUCUGCAACCCUGGUAACUCACAUACAGGCCUGAUUCCACCUACAGCAAAGCUGGAUGCUAUGGUUGGCAGAGGCAAGCCCCUUGCCUGCACUUCAGGCCAAAGCCGGGAUGUGGCCUAGAUGGUUCCUAAGGUCCCUGACAGUCCUGAGAUCUUUCAUCUUGUCUAUUUCAGGUCAAAGCUUCUCAGAUGACCAAGAUGGUGCUGCC
rnacentral:lncRNA from 1 species